UACGUAGGGGGCGAGCGUUGUCCGGAAUUAUUGGGCGUAAAGAGCUUGUAGGCGGUUUGUCGCGUCUGCUGUGAAAUUUCGGGGCUCAACCCCGAACUUGCAGUGGGUACGGGCAGACUAGAGUGUGGUAGGGGAGACUGGAAUUCCUGGUGUAGCGGUGAAAUGCGCAGAUAUCAGGAGGAACACCGAUGGCGAAGGCAGGUCUCUGGGCAUUAACUGACGCUGAGGAGCGAAAGCAUGGGGAGCGAACAGG
rnacentral:rRNA from 1 species